GCCACGUGGUCGGCUCUGCCUGCUGCUCCCGGCGCCGUGGAACAGUUGCCGGUAACCCGCUGCGUUGUGUACACGUAUGGCCUUACAAAUCUCAGAAUACUGAGAUCUCUGUUUUCCGACUGGUGCACGAGAUGGGGUAUGUUGGGGCAGACAGCUCUACAUUUAGCAUGGUGGCGGAGUGUUUGGAAUCCAUAGUACUGCUGAUCAUGUGGUUUUGGACUGGUGACCCAAUCUGUGUUUCAACAUCCUCACCUGUAAGAGGGAAACAAUACUUUCUACAUUACAGACUUGUGAGACUUCAACGACACAAUCAGAUGUCUGCCACAUAGUAAUACCUACAGCUAACAAUUAUUGAGCAUCUGCUCUGUGACAGGGCAAUUGGUGUGAUUCCAUUACCCAAAUUCCGUGCCCUCUUUGAAAUGAGACACGUCUAUCAAUCUGAAUCCUACGUGAGCGUAAUGAGCAGAGCACCCUGUCAGCCCACCUUGGAUAUGAUAGAAAUAAACUUUUAUUUUAA
rnacentral:lncRNA from 1 species